rnacentral:rRNA from 1 species
GAUGAACGCUGGCGGCGCGCCUAACACAUGCAAGUCGAACGAUUAAAGCACCUUCGGGUGUGUAUAAAGUGGCGAACGGCUGAGUAACACGUGGGCAACCUGCCCCUCUCAUUGGGAUAGCCACGGGAAACCGUGGAUAAUACCGAAUACUUCGAGACUUCCGCAUGGAAGACCCGAGAAAGCACCGGCGGAGGGGGAUGGGCCCGCGGCCUGUUAGCUUGUUGGUGGGGUAACGGCCUACCAAGGCAAUGAUGGGUAGCUGGGUUGAGAGGCCGACCAGCCAGGUUAGGACUGAGACACGACCCAGACUCCUACGGGAGGCAGCGGUGGAGAAUCUUACACAGUGGGCGAGGGCCAGAUGCGGCGACGCCACGUGCGGGAUAAGGGCCUGCGGGUUGUAAACCACUUUCAGCAGGGACGGGGCGAAAGUGACGGUACCUGCAGAAGAAGCCCCGGCUAACUACGUG